GACGAACGCUGGCGGCGUGCUUAACACAUGCAAGUCGAACGGAAAGGCCCUGCUUUUGUGGGGUGCUCGAGUGGCGAACGGGUGAGUAACACGUGAGUAACCUGCCCUUGACUUUGGGAUAACUUCAGGAAACUGGGGCUAAUACCGGAUAGGAGCUCCUGCUGCAUGGUGGGGGCUGGAAAGUUUCGGCGGUUGGGGAUGGACUCGCGGCUUAUCAGCUUGUUGGUGGGGUAGUGGCUUACCAAGGCUUUGACGGGUAGCCGGCCCGGGAGGGUGACCAGCCACAUUGGGACUGAGAUACGGCCCAGACUGCUACGUGAGGCAGCAGUGGGGAAUAUUGCACAAUGGGCGGGAGCCUGAUGCAGCAGCGCCGCGUUCGGGAUGACGGCCUUCGGGUUGUAAACCGCUGUCGCCUGUGACGAAGCGUUAGUGACGGUAAUGGGUAAAGAAGCACCGGCUAACUACGUG
rnacentral:rRNA from 1 species